GAUGAACGCUGGCUACAGGCUUAACACAUGCAAGUCGUGAGGAAACGGCAUUUAUGUGCUUGCACAUUCUGGACGUCGACCGGCGCACGGGUGAGUAUCGCGUAUCCAACCUGCCCCUUACUUGGGGAUACCCCGUUGAAAGACGGCCUAAUACCCGAUGUGUUUCAUUGACGGCAUCCGAUAUGAAACAAAGGUUUUUCCGGUAAGGGAUGGGGAUGCGUCUGAUUAGCUAGUUGGCGGGGCAACGGCCCACCAAGGCGACGAUCAGUAGGGGUUCUGAGAGGAAGGUCCCCCACAUUGGAACUGAGACACGGUCCAAACUCCUACGGGAGGCAGCAGUGAGGAAUAUUGGUCAAUGGACGCAAGUCUGAACCAGCCAAGUAGCGUGCAGGAUGACGGCCCUAUGGGUUGUAAACUGCUUUUAUGUGGGAAUAAAUUGGCGCACGUGUGCGCCAUUGCAUGUACCUCAUGAAUAAGGACCGGCUAAUUCCGUGCCAGCAGCCGCGGUAAUACGGAAGGUCCGGGCGUUAUCCGGAUUUAUUGGGUUUAAAGGGAGUGUAGGCGGUCUGUUAAGCGUGUUGUGAAAUUUAGGUGCUCAACAUUUAACUUGCAGCGCGAACUGUCAGACUUGAGUACACGCAGCGCAGGCGGAAUUCAUGGUGUAGCGGUGAAAUGCUUAGAUAUCAUGAGGAACUCCGAUCGCGAAGGCAGCCUGCGGGAGUGUUACUGACGCUUAAGCUCGAAGGUGCGGGUAUCGAACAGG
rnacentral:rRNA from 1 species